rnacentral:rRNA from 1 species
UAGAGUUUGAUCCUGGCUCAGAUUGAACGCUGGCGGCAGGCUUAACACAUGCAAGUCGAACGGUAACAGGAAGCAGCUUGCUGCUUUGCUGACGAGUGGCGGACGGGUGAGUAAUGUCUGGGAAACUGCCUGAUGGAGGGGGAUAACUACUGGAAACGGUAGCUAAUACCGCAUAACGUCGCAAGACCAAAGUGGGGGACCUUCGGGCCUCAUGCCAUCAGAUGUGCCCAGAUGGGAUUAGCUAGUAGGUGGGGUAAUGGCUCACCUAGGCGACGAUCCCUAGCUGGUCUGAGAGGAUGACCAGCCACACUGGAACUGAGACACGGUCCAGACUCCUACGGGAGGCAGCAGUGGGGAAUAUUGCACAAUGGGCGCAAGCCUGAUGCAGCCAUGCCGCGUGUAUGAAGAAGGCCUUCGGGUUGUAAAGUACUUUCAGCGAGGAGGAAGGCAUUAAGGUUAAUAACCUUAGUGAUUGACGUUACUCGCAGAAGAAGCACCGGCUAACUCCGUGCCAGCAGCCGCGGUAAUACGGAGGGUGCAAGCGUUAAUCGGAAUUACUGGGCGUAAAGCGCACGCAGGCGGUCUGUUAAGUCAGAUGUGAAAUCUCCGGGCUCAACCUGGGAACUGCAUUUGAAACUGGCAGGCUUGAGUCUCGUAGAGGGGGGUAGAAUUCCAGGUGUAGCGGUGAAAUGCGUAGAGAUCUGGAGGAAUACUCGGUGGCGAACGCGGGCCCCCUGGACGAGACUGACGCUCAUGUGCGAAAGCGUGGGGAGCAAACAGAUUAGAUACCCUGGUAGUCCAC